UGGACACGUAAGUUUUCUUUCAGUUUCUCCUCUAUGUGGGGAAAACUGUACAAGUGUCCUAUAGUAACACAGAAGCUAUCUGUUCAACUCUGAUGAGUUAAUGGGGUUGGAUCGUUCCACUUCUGACAUGU
ensembl:scaRNA